CCUACGGGUGGCAGCAGUGGGGAAUAUUGGGCAAUGGGCGCAAGCCUGACCCAGCAAUGCCGCGUGAAGGAAGAAGGCCUUCGGGUUGUAAACUUCUUUUGACAGGGAAGAGAAGAAGACGGUACCUGUCGAAUAAGCCACGGCUAACUAUGUGCAGGCAGUCGCGGUAAUACGUAGGCGGCAAGCGUUGUCCGGAUUUACUGGUUGUCAAGGGGGUGUGGCCGGGCUGACAAGUUAGAUGUAAAAUCCGGGGGUUCAUCCACCGAACUGCAUUUGAAACUGUUGGUCUUGAAUAUCGGGGAGGCAGGCGGAAUUCCUGGUGUAGCGGUGAAAUGCGUAGAUAUUA
rnacentral:rRNA from 1 species